UACGAAGGGGGGCGAGCGUUGUUUCGGAAUUUACUGGGCGUAAAGGGCGCGUAGGCGGCGACCCAAGUCAGAUGUGAAAGUCCUGGGCUUUAACCUGGGGGACUGCAUUUUGAUACUGGGGUUGCUUGAAUUCGGGAGAGGAUAGCGGAAUUUCCCAGUGUAGAGGUGAAAUUCGUAGAUAUUGGGAAGAACACCGGUGGCGAAGGCGGCUAUCUGGACCGACAUUGACGCUGAGGCGCGAAAAGCGUGGGGAGCAAACAGG
rnacentral:rRNA from 1 species